CCACGCCUCGAGGCCCGUACCCCCGUCUUGACAUAGGUCAGAUGGAGAAGACCCCGCUGCUGUUAUGAUCAUGG